rnacentral:sRNA from 1 species
GUUUCUGGCGCGAACUUCCGCCGUUCCGAAGUUGCACGGUGAAUUGGCGCUAUGUCUGGGGACAGCAGCGGCCGCGGGCCAGAGGGCCGGAGCCGGGGCCGCAACCCGCAUCGGGAUCGCACCCGCUCCCGCUCCCGCUCGCGGUCCCCUUUGUCGCCAAGGUCCCGCCGCGGCUCUGCGCGGGAGCGCAGAGAGGCCCCAGAGCGCCCGAGCCUGGAGGACACAGAGCCGUCGGAUUCCGGGGACGAGAUGAUGGACCCGGCCAGCUUGGAGGCGGAGGCCGACCAAGGCCUGUGCCGCCAGAUCCGCCAUCAGUACCGGGCGCUCAUCAACUCCGUCCAACGUAAGGCGGCGCCUCCGGGCGGCGCGGGCCCGGACGGGCCGCUGUCCCCGCCCUGCGCCCGGCGCGGGGGGAGGGCACCGGAGGCAGGUGCCGGGCGCAGGCCCGGCGCGGCGCUAGUAGAGACGCGCCGGGUGCCAGCCCCUCGCCGCUCGCCGCACCUUAAAUUGUUGACAAAGUGCUCCCACUUUGUGGCUGGAGCCGUACGACCUUGGCGCGGGUCCCCGAGUGGCGGGCUGGAAAAGCUGGAGGCCAGAGCCGCUCGCGGACUCGCCCGAGCCCAGCCAGCCAGUGGGGAGAGGCAGGACGCGGACUCCGCGUGCUUUGAUUGCGCCCGGCAGUCCUUGGCGUGGGCUCCCGGCCUCGCAGCGGCAGCUGCAGCUGCAGCGGCACGCGAGAGCUGUCAAAUGCACGUUCUCGGACCCCACCCGGACCCACGGAAUCCGAAUCUCUGGGUGGGUCCGCGCGACUGUGGAGUGGCCCUCCAGGUGAUGGUGUGUAUUGCUUGCAAAGUUUGAGAACCACUCAGUUAUGGAGCACUCAGAGGCUGCAGCCGGAGUCCAGCCCUUUGGGUUAAGGUUAGAGGGAGCCAGGGUUUCCUUUUAAAAUUCAUGCUGCAUAAAGGGUAGGGUGGCCUUUCUCCUUUUCCGGGCCAUUUUGGUUAAAAAGAUAAAGAUGUUCGAAGUAAUUACUCAGAGCGCAGGAGCCGGGGCUUGGCUUUACUGUUGUAGGUGAUAACCUUGUCAACUGCUUAUUAGUGAAUGCUGAACAAGUUUCCCAAAGUUUGUAUUUUUAAAAAUAGAAAACCGUGAGGACAUACUGAAUGCCGGUGACAAAUUAACAGAGGUCCUUGAAGAGGCGAACACUCUGUUUAAUGAAGUGUCCCGAGCAAGAGAAGCAGUCCUGGAUGCCCACUUUCUUGUUUUGGCUUCAGAUUUGGGCAAAGAGAAAGCAAAGCAGCUGCGCUCAGACUUGAGCUCCUUUGACAUGUUAAGAUAUGUUGAAACUCUACUCACACAUAUGGGUGUAAAUCCGCUAGAAGCUGAAGAACUCAUCCAUGAUGAAGAUGGUCCUGAUUUUGAAUUCAUAGUCUAUGACUCCUGGAAGAUAACAGGCAGAACAGCAGAAAACACCUUUAAUAAAACCCAUACAUUCCACUUUCUGUUGGGUUCAAUAUACGGAGAGUGCCCUGUGCCAAAGCCACGAGUUGAUCGUCCAAGGAAAGUUACUGUGAUACAAGAGGAGAGGGCAAUGCCUGCCCAGUUAAGAAGAAUGGAAGAAUCUCAUCAAGAAGCAACAGAGAAAGAAGUAGAAAGAAUCUUGGGAUUGUUGCAGACAUAUUUUCGAGAAGAUCGAGACAGAGUCUCACUCUUUCGCCCAGACUGGAAUGCAGUGGCACCAUCUCAACUCACUGCAACCUCCACCUCCUGGAUUCAAGCAAUUCUCCUGCCUCAGCCUCCUGAGUAGCUGGGAUUACAGGCGCACGCGCCACCACAUCUGGCUAAUUUUUUUUCUGUAUUUUUAGUGGAGACAUUGUUUCGCCAUGUUGGCCAAGCUAGUCUUGAACCCCUGACCUCAGGUGAUCUGCCAGCAUCGGCCUCCCAGAGUGCUGGGAUUACAGGCCUGAUACCCCAAUGUCCUUCUUUGACUUUGUGGUUGAUCCUCAUUCUUUCCCCCGUACAGUGGAAAACAUCUUUCAUGUUUCCUUCAUUAUACGGGAUGGUUUUGCAAGAAUAAGACUUGACCAAGACCGACUGCCAGUAAUAGAGCCUGUUAGUAUUAAUGAAGAAAAUGAGGGAUUUGAACAUAACACACAAGUUAGAAAUCAAGGAAUUAUAGCUUUGAGUUACCGUGACUGGGAGGAGAUUGUGAAGACCUUUGAGAUUUCAGAGCCUGUGAUUACUCCAAGUCAGAGGCAGCAGAAGCCAAGUGCUUGAUGCUAGCUGAAGGACUCAAAUGGAUAGUGAAGUCCAAAACGGAAAGCGGCAUGUAUUGUACAUAUUGUAUGAUUCAACAUUUUUAAAGGCAGAUUGUUUUUAGUAAAAUGUAGCUUUUGAUAGUUAAUAAA